rnacentral:lncRNA from 1 species
UCCCUUUAUUCCAUCUGGAGAACAUGAUGAUGCCUCUGAUUCUCCCAUUCCUCUCUCUCCUCCCUCUUCUCCCACAUCUGUGCAGAUGCCUUUUCCUACUCCUUUCAGUCCUGCUGGUUCCCCUUCUGUUUUAGUUCCCUCUCCCUCUGUUCCUGCUCCCAGAAAGUCUCAAAGACAACAUAAUCCUCCUUCCUAUCUUAAGGAUUAUGUCUGUCAAAUCCCUGCCUUCUCUGGCUCAUCUUCCUCCUCUUUGGAAUCUGAGCCUCUAUAUUACUUUCAGGUUGCAUAUGUUCCAGCAUGGCAAGCAGCCAUGAGACAGGAGUUUGAAGCUUUGGACACUAACCAUACUUUGGAUGUUGUCCCUCUUCCUCCUG